AUAUCAAAUAAUUUUAGCUUAUUCUUUCUUUUGAUCAAACAAUGACUUAUGUUAAGCUUGCUACUUUGGCUGUUUUCAUGCUCACGCAAUUCUGCUUAAUUGUCCAGAUUAAGAACGUUGAAGCAGGGCAAUGUGCAAGAGUCGGUAUGCGUUGUUCACGGGCAUUGCCGAAUCCAUGCGGCGACAUCGUAACGUGUCGUUGUGUCCAUUUGCAUUUAGUUGGAAGUACCUGCAUUGACUAUACGGGUGAUGGCCUCUAACUCUAAUGAAAAAGACUACUUGAAGAUGGCUUUGGAAAUUGCCACUUAAGAAUCAUGCAUCUUUAUGGCACAGUUUUACUCUCAUCUUUAUACUAAUUUGCAGCAAAAGGGACUGGUACCAGUUUGAGUCAUUAUGUGAUGAAAGUUUCAUUAUGUGAUGAAACACAACAAAUUUCAUAAGGAAAAACUUUAAAAGCACUGUUAUAGUUACUGUGUGCUCUACUCUCUGUGCCUAAUAUUAUACUUGCGUUACAACUAA